AACGCGAAGAACCUUACCAGGUCUUGACAUCCUGCUGACCGGCCAGUAAUGUGGCCUUUCCUUCGGGACAAGAGUGACAGGUGGUGCAUGGUUGUCGUCAGCUCGUGUCGUGAGAUGUUGGGUUAAGUCCCGCAACGAGCGCAACCCUUAUCUUUAGUAGCCAGCAUUUUUAGAUGGGCACUCUAGAGAGACUGCCCGGGUGAACCGGGAGGAAGGUGGGGAUGACGUCAAAUCAUCAUGCCCCUUAUGACCAGGGCUACACACGUGCUACAAUGGCGUAAACAAAGAGAAGCGAACCUGUGAAGGUAAGCGAAGCUCAAAAAUAACGUCUCAGUUCGGAUUGUAGUCUGCAACUCGACUACAUGAAGCUGGAAUUGCUAGUAAUCGCGGAUCAGCAUGCCGCGGUGAAUACGUUCCCGGGUCUUGUACACACCG
rnacentral:rRNA from 1 species